rnacentral:rRNA from 1 species
ACUUAAAUUGAAGAGUUUGAUCAUGGCUCAGAUUGAACGCUGGCGGCAGGCCUAACACAUGCAAGUCGAACGGUAGCACAGAGAGCUUGCUCUCGGGUGACGAGUGGCGGACGGGUGAGUAAUGUCUGGGAAACUGCCUGAUGGAGGGGGAUAACUACUGGAAACGGUGGCUAAUACCGCAUAACGUCGCAAGACCAAAGAGGGGGACCUUCGGGCCUCUUGCCAUCAGAUGUGCCCAGAUGGGAUUAGCUGGUUGGUGAGGUAACGGCUCACCAAGGCGACGAUCCCUAGCUGGUCUGAGAGGAUGACCAGCCACACUGGAACUGAGACACGGUCCAGACUCCUACGGGAGGCAGCAGUGGGGAAUAUUGCACAAUGGGCGCAAGCCUGAUGCAGCCAUGCCGCGUGUAUGAAGAAGGCCUUCGGGUUGUAAA